CUUUUUAAAGUUUUACCAAAUAGUGUUCAGGGGCAUAAAAAUAUGUUUAGACUGGCUCAAUCUUGUUUCCCUUGCAAGCCCAGUGGGAAGGUGGGCUAUCAAUAAAAUCUUUCCUCUCUACCUCUUUCCUUACAGGAACUGUAGGGAGUGGAAUUACAACCACCCCACCACAAACAACCUCCUUGCCCUGAGUUGAUGCACGUGUACCCAGUACUUGGCUUCAACACAGCAUGAGGGCCUGUCUAAGUACAAUUCAAUAUCUGCAAAUUGCCACGGUGGGUGAGAAAAAAGUAAUGCCCACUACUCAACUGGACAUAGAGGAGAAGAAGGAGGGAGUACGUGUCUGUCCCAUGGUGAUAAUGGAUGCUGCCCAAGAUGGGAUCUGCUGCCACUUGUGGAGGAGUGGUCUGUGGAGAGUACAAGUGGCCCUGGCUUGGCAAGUGAACCCUUCCAGUCUGAUCUGA
rnacentral:lncRNA from 1 species